GGCGUGCCUAAUACAUGCAAGUCGAGCGCAGGAAACAAGUAGAUCCCUUCGGGGUGACGCUUGUGGAAUGAGCGGCGGACGGGUGAGUAACACGUGGGCAACCUACCUUGUAGACUGGGAUAACUCCGGGAAACCGAGCUAAUACGGGAUGAUCAUUUGAAUCGCAUGAUUGAAAUGUAAAAGUGAGGAGUAAUCCUCACACUAUGAGAUGGGCCCGCGGCGCAUUAGCUAGUUGGUAAGGUAAUGGCUUACCAAGGCAACGAUGCGUAGCCGACCUGAGAGGGUGAUCGGCCACACUGGAACUGAGACACGGUCCAGACUCCCACGGGAGGCAGCAGUAGGGAAUCAUCCGCAAUGGGCGAAAGCCUGACGGUGCAACGCCGCGUGAACGAUGAAGGUUUUCGGAUCGUAAAGUUCUGUUAUGAGGGAAGAACAAGUGCCGUUCGAAUAGGGCGGCACCUUGACGGUACCUCACGAGAAAGCCCCGGCUAACUACGUG
rnacentral:rRNA from 1 species